AGAGCGAACGCUGGCGGCAGGCCUAACACAUGCAAGUCGAACGAUCCUUCGGGAUAGUGGCGGACGGGUGAGUAACACGUGGGAACGUGCCUUUUGGUUCGGAACAACUCAGGGAAACUUGAGCUAAUACCGAAUGUGCCCUUCGGGGGAAAGAUUUAUCGCCAUUAGAGCGGCCCGCGUCUGAUUAGCUAGUUGGUGGGGUAAAGGCUCACCAAGGCUACGAUCAGUAGCUGGUCUGAGAGGAUGAUCAGCCACAUUGGGACUGAGACACGGCCCAAACUCCUACGGGAGGCAGCAGUGGGGAAUCUUGCGCAAUGGGCGAAAGCCUGACGCAGCCAUGCCGCGUGAAUGAUGAAGGUCUUAGGAUUGUAAAAUUCUUUUCACCGGGGACGAUAAUGACGUACCCGGAGAAGAAGCCCCGGCUAACUCGUGCCAGCAGCCGC
rnacentral:rRNA from 1 species